rnacentral:snoRNA from 1 species
CCUGCAUACUAUCAAAGUUAAGAUGGAGGCUAGUCUCAGCCAGUGAUCUUCUGGGUGUUGGAAGUGUGUUAUAAUAUGGUAGGAUUUUCUCCAGUGGAACUUGCCUGUGUGACUGGAAUUUGACAGUACUUGCUACCACACAU